UGUGUCUCAGAUGGUCCUCAUUUUAUUAUCAUCAUCAUCAUCAUCAUCAUCAUCAUGAGUGUGGUGUGUGUGAGAGAUGUGUCUCAGACGGUUCCUCUUCAUCAUCUUUAUCAUCGUCCUCAUCGCUGUCAUUACAGGUCCUCGUCAUCAUAAUCUUCUUCAUCUUCAUCAGCAGCAGCACUCUCAAAUGAAGGAGAAUGCUGAGGAUGGAGACACCAGGAAGGAGGAAAAGAGGAAGAUCAAGGAGGAG